GGUCCCAUCGUCUAACGGUUAGGACGCGGCCCUUUCACGGCCGAAAUCGGGGUUCGAUCCCCCGUGGGAUCACAA
rnacentral:tRNA from 1 species